ensembl:rRNA 5S_rRNA 5S ribosomal RNA
GCUUACGGUCACACUACCCUGAGAACGCCCGAUCUCGUCUGAUCUCGGAAGCUAAGCAGGGUUUGCCCUGGUUAGUACUUGGAUGGAAGACCACCUGGGAAUACCAGGUGCUGUAAGCU